rnacentral:rRNA from 1 species
AAGGAAUUUUCGUCAAUGGGCGCAAGCCUGAACGAGCAACGCCGCGUGGAGGAUGACGGCCUUCGGGUUGUAAACUCCUUUUUCGGGGGACGAUGAUGCCGGUACCCCGGGAAUAAGGCUCGGCUAACUCUGUGCCAGCAGCCGCGGUAAUACAGAGGAGCCAAGCGUUGUCCGGAUUGACUGGGCGUAAAGCGCACGCAGGCGGUCUGGCGCGUGGGGUGUGAAAUCUGGCCGCUUAACGGCCAGGCGCCAUCCCAUACGGCCGGACUGGAGGGCUGCAGAGGUCGAUGGAAUUGCCGGUGUAGUGGUGAAAUGCGUAGAGAUCGGCAGGAACACCCAGGGGGAAACCAGUCGACUGGGCAGCACCUGACGCUGAGGUGCGAGAGCGUGGGGAGCGAAC